rnacentral:rRNA from 1 species
GACAGAGGUGCCGAGCGUUAGGCGGAAUCACUGGGCUUAAAGCGUGUGUAGGCGGACUUCUAAGUACCUUGUGAAAUCCCACGGCUCAACCGUGGAACUGCUUGGUAUACUGGUCGUCUUGAGCCAUCUAGGGGCUGUCGGAACAAAUGGUGGAGCGGUGAAAUGCGUAGAUAUCAUUUGGAACGCCAAAGGUGAAAACAGACAGCUGGGGAUGUGCUGACGCUGAGACACGAAAAGCCAGGGGAGCGAACGGGG